rnacentral:rRNA from 1 species
UACAGAGGUCUCAAGCGUUGUUCGGAUUCAUUGGGCGUAAAGGGUGCGUAGGUGGCUUGUUAAGUUGAAGGUGAAAUCUCGGGGCUCAACUCCGAAACUGCACUGGAUACUGCCUUGCUUGAGUACUGGAGAGGAGAUUGGAAUUUACGGUGUAGCAGUGAAAUGCGUAGAUAUCGUAAGGAAGACCAGUGGCGAAGGCGAAUCUCUGGACAGUUACUGACACUGAGGCACGAAGGCCAGGGGAGCAAACGGG